UACAGGGGGUGCAAACGUUGCUCGGAAUCAUUGGGCGUAAAGCGCACGUAGGCGGUUCGUUAUGUCGGAUGUGAAAGCCCUUGGCUUAACCGAGGAAGUGCAUCCGAAACUGGCGAGCUAGAGUACGAAAGAGGAUCGCGGAAUUCCCGGUGUAGAGGUGAAAUUCGUAGAUAUCAGGAGGAACACCGGUGGCGAAGGCGGCGACCUGGGUAGAUACUGACGCUGAGGCGCGAAAGCGUGGGGAGCAAACAGG
rnacentral:rRNA from 1 species